rnacentral:rRNA from 1 species
CAGCCGCCACGGUAAUACGAAGGGUGCAAGCGUUAAUCGGAAUUACUGGGCGUAAAGCGUGCGUAGGCGGUUUGUUAAGUCUGCUGUGAAAUCCCCGGGCUUAACCUGGGAACUGCAUUUGUGACUGGCGAGCUAGAGUAUGGCAGAGGGGGGUAGAAUUCCACGUGUAGCAGUGAAAUGCGUAGAGAUGUGGAGGAAUACCGAUGGCGAAGGCAGCCCCCUGGGCCAAUACUGACGCUCAUGCACGAAAGCUAGGGGAGCAAACAGGAUUAGAUACCCCAGUAGUCCCUGUCUCUUAUAC